rnacentral:rRNA from 1 species
UACGGGGGGAGCAAGCGUUGUUCGGAUUUACUGGGCGUAAAGGGCGCGUAGGCGGCCACCGCAAGUCGGUUGUGAAAUCUCCGGGCUUAACUCGGAAAGGUCAACUGAUACUGUGCGACUAGAGUGCAGAAGGGGCAACUGGAAUUCUCGGUGUAGCGGUGAAAUGCGUAGAUAUCGUAAGGAAGACCAGUGGCGAAGGCGGGUCUCUGGACAGUUCCUGACGCUGAGGCACGAAGGCCAGGGGAGCAAACGGG